rnacentral:rRNA from 1 species
UAAAAGUCGUAACAAGGUUUCCGUAGGUGAACCUGCGGAAGGAUCAUUACCGAGUGCGGGUCCUUUGGGCCCAACCUCCCAUCCGUGUCUAUUGUACCCUGUUGCUUCGGCGGGCCCGCCGCUUGUCGGCCGCCGGGGGGGCGCCUCUGCCCCCCGGGCCCGUGCCCGCCGGAGACCCCAACACGAACACUGUCUGAAAGCGUGCAGUCUGAGUUGAUUGAAUGCAAUCAGUUAAAACUUUCAACAAUGGAUCUCUUGGUUCCGGCAUCGAUGAAGAACGCAGCGAAAUGCGAUAACUAAUGUGAAUUGCAGAAUUCAGUGAAUCAUCGAGUCUUUGAACGCACAUUGCGCCCCCUGGUAUUCCGGGGGGCAUGCCUGUCCGAGCGUCAUUGCUGCCCUCAAGCCCGGCUUGUGUGUUGGGUCGCCGUCCCCCUCUCCGGGGGGACGGGCCCGAAAGGCAGCGGCGGCACCGCGUCCGAUCCUCGAGCGUAUGGGGCUUUGUCACAUGCUCUGUAGGAUUGGCCGGCGCCUGCCGACGUUUUCCAACCAUUCUUUCCAGGUUGACCUCGGAUCAGGUAGGGAUACCCGCUGAACUUAAGCAUAU